AGCUUUGCACAGUGGCAGUAUUGUAGCCAAUGAGGUUUAUCCCAGGCAUGAUUAUUACUAAUUGAAAACUAAAAACAUAAAACUCAUUUUAAAAUAUAUGUGUCUGAGGUUAAUCAUUUUAUAAUUUUUUUAAAU
ensembl:snRNA U4 U4 spliceosomal RNA